rnacentral:rRNA from 1 species
UACGGUAGGGUGCGAGCGUUGUCCGGAAUCACUGGGCGUAAAGGGCGCGUAGGCGGCGCGGAUAGUCGGCCGGUGAAAGCCCGGAGCUCAACUCCGGGUCGGCCGUCGAUACUUCCGGGCUUGAGCACUGUAGAGGCAGAUGGAAUUCCGGGUGUAGCGGUGGAAUGCGUAGAGAUCCGGAAGAACACCGGUGGCGAAGGCGGUCUGCUGGGCAGUUGCUGACGCUGAUGU